rnacentral:rRNA from 1 species
GACGAACGCUGGCGGCGUGCCUAAUACAUGCAAGUCGAGCGAAUCAAUAGGAGCUUGCUCCUGUUGGUUAGCGGCGGACGGGUGAGUAACACGUGGGCAACCUGCCUGUAAGACUGGGAUAACAUCGGGAAACCGAUGCUAAUACCGGAUAAUUCAUUCCCUCUCAUGAGGGAAUGUUGAAAGUCGGUUUGGGCUGACACUUACAGAUGGGCCCGCGGCGCAUUAGCUAGUUGGUGAGGUAACGGCACACCAAGGCGACGAUGCGUAGCCGACCUGAGAGGGUGAUCGGCCACACUGGGACUGAGACACGGCCCAGACUCCUACGGGAGGCAGCAGUAGGGAAUCUUCCACAAUGGACGAAAGUCUGAUGGAGCAACGCCGCGUGAGCGAUGAAGGCCUUCGGGUCGUAAAGCUCUGUUGUUAGGGAAGAACAUGUACCGGAGUAACUGCCGGUACCUUGACGGUACCUAACCAGAAAGCCACGGCUAACUACGUGCCAGCAGCCGCCGCCG